CUGCUUUUGAUGUUUUGUAGGUGGUGUUUUGCUGCUUUAUAUAGAGCUGUUUGGUGGUUGUUUUUGGUUCUGUUAAGCAAGAGGAUCAUUUAAACAGCCCUCUUCCUGUGCUUUUACCGUGUUUUUCUUCGAACUAGAGGUGUCAAACUAGACGGGCUGGCCUAGCAUGGCACGAGCGCAAAUAUUAGUGGGCCGUGCUAGGUUUUUGAGAAAUAGUCAUAAGCCAGUGGAGUCGUCUUAUGAGCAUGCCUCCUUCUGAUUUGAUCUGAUUUGAAGAAGACGACAUGUACCGAGAAGUGACCUCUUGAGUUUGAGCCGGCGAGGAACGACAACGCAAUUUUCGGGGUCGGAGGGUAGAAGUGGAGGCCUUAUAGCAGAUCGGGGACGACCUCCUUGGGACACGGCUUUGGGGUUCAAUGCCGUAGAAAUAGCAGCUACCAUUGUAAAAACUCAAAAUUCCAUUCAAAUCUCAUCCUCCAAAGCCUUCAACCGCCCCUGCGAGUUUAGUGGCACUCACUUCUGAGAGAACGAGAAAUCGUAAAAUAAAAUAAAAUUACAAAAACAGAGAAAAGGAAGUCGCGGAGUGAGAGAAAGGAGAGGUUUCUGGGGGAGGCGCUUUUUAUGUGUGCGCUUUUAGAGAGUGAUCGGAUGAAUUUGGA